GACGAACGCUGGCGGCGUGCCUAAUACAUGCAAGUCGAACGCUUCUUUCCUCCCGAGUGCUUGCACUCAAUUGGAAAGAGGAGUGGCGGACGGGUGAGUAACACGUGGGUAACCUACCCAUCAGAGGGGGAUAACACUUGGAACAGGUGCUAAUACCGCAUAACAGUUUAUGCCGCAUGGCAUAAGAGUGAAAGGCGCUUUCGGGUGUCGCUGAUGGAUGGACCCGCGGUGCAUUAGCUAGUUGGUGAGGUAACGGCUCACCAAGGCCACGAUGCAUAGCCGACCUGAGAGGGUGAUCGGCCACACUGGGACUGAGACACGGCCCAGACUCCUACGGGAGGCAGCAGUAGGGAAUCUUCGGCAAUGGGCGAAAGUCUGACCGAGCAACGCCGCGUGAGUGAAGAAGGUUUUCGGAUCGUAAAACUCUGUUGUUAGAGAAGAACAAGGACGUUAGUAACUGAACGUCCCCUGACGGUAUCUAACCAGAAAGCCACGGCUAACUACGUG
rnacentral:rRNA from 1 species